GACGAACGCUGGCGGCGUGCUUAACACAUGCAAGUCGAACGGUAAGGCCCUUCGGGGUACACGAGUGGCGAACGGGUGAGUAACACGUGGGUGAUCUGCCCUGCACUUCGGGAUAAGCCUGGGAAACUGGGUCUAAUACCGGAUAGGACCCUGGGAUGCAUGUCCUGGGGUGGAAAGCUUUUGCGGUGUGGGAUGGGCCCGCGGCCUAUCAGCUUGUUGGUGGGGUGAUGGCCUACCAAGGCGACGACGGGUAGCCGGCCUGGGAGGGUGACCGGCCACACUGGGACUGAGAGACGGCCCAGACUCCUACGGGAGGCAGCAGUGGGGAAUAUUGCACAAGGGGCGCAAGCCUGAUGCAGCGACGCCGCGUGAGGGAUGACGGCCUUCGGGUUGUAAACCUCUUUCAGCACCGACGAAGCGCAAGUGACGGUAGGUGCAGAAGAAGGACCGGCCAACUACGUGCCAGCCGCCGCCGUAA
rnacentral:rRNA from 1 species